rnacentral:misc_RNA from 1 species
GCUGUGGAAACCAUAUAAAGCAUUAAGAAUUCCUCCUGAAGGCAUGAGAUUUCCAUAAGCCCAGAAGCCUCCAAUGGCAAUAGGGAACAGGCACAAGGCUAUGAAGAAAUAAGCAACUUUUGCUCCCUUCCACAUUGGCACAUGAGCUGGGUGCUUGAACGUUGACGGCAUUGUUGACUGAAUCUCAAGAACUAAAUUGUGUCCUCUAAAGGUAAAUGCUAUAAUACCCAUGGCGUUCAAGACCGAAAAGAGAGAAGCUGAAUAGGAAGGCAAAGAAAUGGGUUCAUAUGAAAUGGAAGGUGGUCGUGGUUGGCUAACAGAAAGGACCCAUGCCAUAGUGGCGUAUGUGAUGGCUGUCACUGCUCCAACGAGGGAGAGUCCAGCGAUGGAAUUCAGGUUCGGGAGCUGGGACAGAACAAUGCAGAGGGAAGUGAAAACCAGAUACCACUCCACAGUUGUUAAAGGAUUCGAUGAACAGAGAGGACCACAAACAAUUUGAAAGAACAGCUUCAUGGUUUCUCCUCCUACGAGAAUCAAUGCUGUUGCAGUUCCUGCAGAUAGGUAAACAGUAGGGAAGAGAGCAAGCCAAACACCCAGUCUUUCACCAAAUGCUGCUUGCGCAAGUUCCACAUAUCUAUUGUAUCUUUUUCCAGGUACUGCUUCAUGCAGCUGAACAAGGAUCCAUAAUGUAUAGAGUUGCCAGAAAUAAGCUAUAGUUAAGG